rnacentral:lncRNA from 1 species
CACUUUUCAGGACUGACAUUAAGCCGGACAGACUUUACAGCAUGCAUCGUGGAGACUGGUUGCCAUGGCCUGGUGAGGCUCAGAGACGAGACGAGAGGAGGGCCGAAGCCAGACUGGCUGAGGGUCUGCAGAGACUCGACCAGGCUAAACAUUACCACCUCAACACACUGACCAGAGAACAGCACAGACUUCACAGAGACCUCAUCUCUAUCAAAACAGGUAAUCCCUGGAAAAGAGGACUCCACAGUUUGGGGCUGCGACCCUCCAACCAUGAUGUUGGUCACCCUGCUGCAUCUUACAAGAAGACCCUAUUACCCAGCAUCCCAAUGGCAGGCAAGGAGACAGACAG